AACAAAACGCUGGCGGCGUGUCUUAAAGCAUGCAAGUUGAGCGGCAAGGAGGAGAGAUCCUCCCUAGAGCGGCGGACUGGUGAGUAACGCGUGGGUAAUCUAUCUUAGGCAUGGGGAUAGUCACUAGAAAUAGUGGGUAAUACCGAAUAAGUUCCAUAAGGGGAGGACUUAUGGAAGAAAGGUGCUACGGCACUGGCCUUAGGUGAGCUCGCGUCCCAUUAGCUAGUUGGUGAGGUAAAGGCCCACCAAGGCGAUGAUGGGUAGCCGGCCUGAGAGGGUGUACGGCCACACUGGGACUGAGAUACGGCCCAGACUCCUACGGGAGGCAGCAGCUAAGAAUAUUCCGCAAUGGACGGAAGUCUGACGGAGCGACGCCGCGUGGAUGAAGAAGGCCGAAAGGUUGUAAAGUUCUUUUGCUAGGGGAGAAUAAGUGUGGGAGGGAAUGCCUGCACGAUGACAAGGACUAGCGAAUAAGUCCCGGCCAACUAUGUGCCAGC
rnacentral:rRNA from 1 species